CCUACGGGAGGCAGCAGUGAGGAAUAUUGGUCAAUGGACGAGAGUCUGAACCAGCCAAGUAGCGUGAAGGAUGACUGCCCUAUGGGUUGUAAACUUCUUUUAUAUGGGAAUAAAACGUUCCACGUGUGGGAUUUUGUAUGUACCAUAUGAAUAAGGAUCGGCUAACUCCGUGCCAGCAGCCGUGGUAAUACGGAGGCUCCGAGCGUUAUCCGGAUUUAUUGGGUUUAAAGGGAGCGUAGGUGGAUUGUUAAGUCAGUUGUGAAAGUUUGCGGCUCAACCGUACAAUUGCAGUUGAGACUGGCAGUCUAGAGUACAGUAGAGGUGAGCGGAAUUCGUGGUGUAGCGGUGAAAUGCUUAGAUAUCACGAAGAACACCGAUUGCGAAGGCAGUUCACUGGACUGCAACUGACACUGAGGCUCGAAAGUGUGGGUAUCAAACAGGAUUAGAUACCCUUGUAGUC
rnacentral:rRNA from 1 species